GACGAACGCUGGCGGCGUGCUUAACACAUGCAAGUCGAACGGAAAGGCCCUGCUUUUGUGGGGUGCUCGAUUGGCGAACGGGUGAGUAACACGUGAGUAACCUGCCCUUGACUUUGUGAUAACUUCAGGAAACUGGGGCUAAUACCGGAUAGGAGCUCCUGCUGCAUGGUGGGGGUUGGAAAGUUUCGGCGGUUGGGGAUGGACUCGCGGCUUAUCACCUUGUUGGUGGGGUAGUGGCUUACCAAGGCUUUGACGGGUAGCCGGCCUGAGAGGGUGACCGGCCACAUUGGGACUGAGAUACGGCCCAGACUCCUACGGGAGGCAGCAGUGGGGAAUAUUGCACAAUGGGCGGAAGCCUGAUGCAGCAACGCCGCGUGCGGGAUGACGGCCUUCGGGUUGUAAACCGCUUUCGCCUGUGACGAAGCGUGAGUGACGGUAAUGGGUAAAGAAGCACCGGCUAACUACGUG
rnacentral:rRNA from 1 species